AUUAUCUAAGCAUUUUUUUCCUUUAAAAUUUUCAUUUGCUGUUUAAGAGUUUUUUGUAUAAACUGUGAUGCAACAUGCAUCUGGGUUCUUCCAAUUUAUGUUUAAUUUAGACGUAAGCCAUUUGGAUUGAAAAUUCACACUAAGAAUAAUGAGCUGUAAUGUUAACACACCAAGUUGAUGCAGUGAACACGUAAAAAUAUCAAUGAUCUUGAUAGAUGAGGUAGAAAAAGAUCAACAGACAAUAAGAUUUUGAUAUGCUGAAACAUAAGACAUCUUCCUGCUGAAAUAUUGUGUUUUAUCUACAGAUAUCAUCCCUAGUAAGUGAGAACAAAAUUUUGGUAGUGAAGUUAAAGCAGAAAAGUUGAGGAUCCUUCUUAAGAAGCAAGCCAGUGAGACUUCAGCCACUGGCUGAGAGUGCAGGAGUCACAGGACUUCAGAAACAAAUCUAUAGCUGCUAUAAUGGAGUCAAAUCCACUGAUUCAGUGCCAAAAGUUAGGAGUGUGAGGAGAACUGAUGCAGGAAUUCUUGAUUUUUCAUGUUAAUUCUUGUUUUACUGGUUCCUCUUCAUGAAGUUGUCGUGUCUAUGUAUCAAUAGUUAACAUGAAUUUUUUUAGUUUCUGUUUAUUUACCUUUUUGUUGUUGUAUUAAUUCAUAGGAGGUAACUUAGUACAAAAGCACAUUGGAGUAGUCAAACUUUGUUGCAAGUGUUGAAUUCAAUGAAGAAUAAUUUUGAAAGAA